rnacentral:lncRNA from 1 species
CGUUCUCCACCAAAAUAUCUUAGGGUGAUAUCUAGAGGCUGUCUAUUGCCUGCAGGACAAAUUUAGGUGCCUGAUGGUAUCAGCUGGGUAACUGCUUUCUUCUGUGCCACCAUCUUGACCAUCUAUCAGGAGAGCACAAAGGGAAGAAGGGCUAUCCGAAGAGAUUGCCUCAGAUGCCACCAUCCCAGCCCCUUGCCAGUGAGUGUUUUUCACUACACGAUGGUGUUGCUAACACAACUGUCUUCUCUCUGGAAAAUGUCUGCAAAUCCUUUUGAUGACAUGAUGCAUAUCGGGACACUGAAAGCAAAUAGAAUUAUCACUGUACAUUUGUUUCUCCCACGCUUCCUGGUGACAGUUGGAAUUCAUUGAACCUUUUAUCCUACACAUUAAGUUGAUAGAGCACAACAUUCCUUAAAGCUGAGCACUGAAAAGUCGUCAGCUUUGGAGCUGGC